rnacentral:rRNA from 1 species
GUGGGGAAUAUUGGACAAUGGGCGCAAGCCUGAUCCAGCCACGCCGCGUGAGUGAUGAAGGCCUUAGGGUUGUAAAGCUCUUUCAGUGGGGACGAUAAUGACGGUACCCACAGAAGAAGCCCCGGCUAACUUCGUGCCAGCAGCCGCGGUAAUACGAAGGGGGCUAGCGUUGUUCGGAUUUACUGGGCGUAAAGCGCACGUAGGCGGAUCGUUAAGUCGGGGGUGAAAUCCUGGAGCUCAACUCCAGAACUGCCUUCGAUACUGGCGAGCGUGAGUCCGGAAGAAGUGAGUGGAACUCCUAGUGUAGAGGUGGAAUUCGUGGAUAUUAGGAAGAACACCAGUGGCGAAGGCGGCUCACUGGUCCGGUACUGACGCUGAGGUGCGAAAGCGUGGGGAGCAAACAGGAUUAGAUACCCCAGUAGUCC